rnacentral:rRNA from 1 species
AGAGAGAGACAUGCGCGCAUAUCAAUAAGCGGAGGAAAAGGAAACUAACAAGGAUUCCCCUAGUAACGGCGAGUGAAGCGGGAAGAGCUCAAAUUUGAAAUCUUAAAGGGUUUCCCUUUACGAAUUGUAGUUUAAAGAAGUGUUUUCUGUUGAGGUUUUGGUAAAAGUUCUUUGGAAUAGGACAUCAUAGAGGGUGAGAAUCCCGUAUUUGACCUUUACUUUCAACCUUUGUGAUACACUUUCAAAGAGUCGGAUUGUUUGGGAAUGCAGUCCAAAAUGGGUGGUAAACUUCAUCUAAAGCUAAAUAUUGGCGAGAGACCGAUAGCGAACAAGUACCGUGAGGGAAAGAUGAAAAGAACUUUGAAAAGAGAGUUAAACAGUACGUGAAAUUGUCAAAAGGGAAGCGUUUGACACCAGUGUUGUUUUUCUGAAAAUCAAUUAAAGAACUGUUUAUGCUAAGUUGUUUAGACUUUAUCAGCUAUACUGUUUAGUUUUGAGCUUUUCUUUAAUGCACUUUUCAGUUAACAAGUCAACAUCAAUUUCUUUUGCUGUAAAAAAGCUUGAGGAAGGUGGCUUGAGAUUCGUCUUAAGUGUUUAUAGCCUCUUGCCUAUGCAGUCGGAGAGAUUGAGGUCUGCAGCGUAGAUCCUUCGGGGCUAAAUGCAUUUGUGCUAAGUUAUAGCAUUUUAUAGACAACUUGUUGACUAUGAUUUGUCUUGUAGCUUACUCGCUUAUGUUAUUUUACCUACGCUUAGGAUGUUGACGCAUGAGAUAUACGC